rnacentral:rRNA from 1 species
CCCUUAGAUGUUCUGGGCCGCACGCGCGCUACACUGAUGCAUUCAACGAGUCUAAAACCUGCUCUGAUAGGGGUGGGUAAUCUUUUGAAUGUGCAUCGUGAUUGGGAUAGAUGAUUGCAAUUUUUCAUCUUCAACGAGGAAUGCCUAGUAAACGCAAGUCAUCAGCUGGCAUUGAUUACGUCCCUGCCCUUUGUACACACCGCCCGUCGCUCCUACCGAUUGAAUGAUCCGAUGAAUAUCAUGGAUUGAGGAUGCAAGCAGGUUCGCCUGUCUUCAUCUUCGAGAAGUGAAGUAGAUCUUAUCAUUUAGAGGAAGGAGAAGGCGUAACA